rnacentral:rRNA from 1 species
AGUAGUUGAUCAUGGCUACAGGACGACGCUGGCGGCGUGCCUAACACAUACAAGUCGAACGGAACUAUUUAUGGAAGUCCUUCGGGAUGGAAAUGUUAGUUUAGUGGCGGACGGGUGAGUAACGCGUGAGUAACCUGCCUUUCAGAGGGGGAUAACGUUCGGAAACGAACGCUAAUACCGCAUAACAUAUAUUGGUCGCAUGGCUGAUAUAUCAAAGGAGCAAUCCGCUGAAAGAUGGACUCGCGUCUGAUUAGAUAGUUGGUGGGGUAAUGGCUCACCAAGUCUACGAUCAGUAGCCGGACUGAGAGGUUGAACGGCCACAUUGGGACUGAGACACGGCCCAGACUCCUACGGGAGGCAGCAGUGGGGGAUAUUGCACAAUGGGCGCAAGCCUGAAUGCAGCAACGCCGCGUGAGGGAAGACGGUUUUCGGAUUGUAAACCUCUGUCUUUGGUGAAGAAACAAAUGACGGUAACCAAGGAGGAAGCCACGGCUAACUACGUGCCAGCCGCUGC